AUUGAACGCUGGCGGCAUGCCUUACACAUGCAAGUCGAACGGUAACAGGUUAAGCUGACGAGUGGCGAACGGGUGAGUAAUAUAUCGGAACGUGCCCAGUCGUGGGGGAUAACUACUCGAAAGAGUGGCUAAUACCGCAUACGACCUGAGGGUGAAAGCGGGGGAUCGCAAGACCUCGCGCGAUUGGAGCGGCCGAUAUCAGAUUAGGUAGUUGGUGGGGUAAAGGCUCACCAAGCCAACGAUCUGUAGCUGGUCUGAGAGGACGACCAGCCACACUGGGACUGAGACACGGCCCAGACUCCUACGGGAGGCAGCAGUGGGGAAUUUUGGACAAUGGACGCAAGUCUGAUCCAGCCAUGCCGCGUGC
rnacentral:rRNA from 1 species